rnacentral:rRNA from 1 species
GUAACAAGGUUUCCGUAGGUGAACCUGCGGAAGGAUCAUUGUCGAUGCCUUACAUGCAGUCCAACACGUGAAUUUGUUUGAACACAUACGGUGGGCUUGAGGUGUUCCACACCCCGGCUUGCCACUGGUUUCGGAGGCGGACGACGAAGUGCGUUCUCCUCUGUGCCAAAACUCAAACCCCGGCGCUGAAUGCGUCAAGGAAUUUUAACUUUGCUCUGAGCGCAUCCGCAUGGCACCGGAGACGGUUUUCGUGCGGGUUGUGUUUUGACACAUUAUAUAGAAUGACUCUCGGCAACGGAUAUCUAGGCUCUUGCAUCGAUGAAGAACGUAGCGAAAUGCGAUACUUGGUGUGAAUUGCAGAAUCCCGUGAACCAUCGAGUCUUUGAACGCAAGUUGCGCCCGAUGCCAUUAGGUUGAGGGCACGUCUGCCUGGGUGUCACAUAUCGAAGCCUCCUGCCAAUUUCCUUUUGACAGGUAUUGUGCAGGGUGGACGUUGGCCUCCCGUGAGCUCUUUUGUCUCAUGGUUGGUUGAAAAUUGAGACCUUGGUAGGGUGUGCCAUGAUAAAUGGUGGUUGUGUGACCCACGAGACCAAUCAUGCACUGCUCUAUUGAAUUUGGCCUCUUUUACCCAUAUGCGUUUCUAAACGCUCGUGAUGAGACCUCAGGUCAGGCGGGGCUACCCGCUGAAUUUAAGCAUAUC